UACGUAGGGCGCAAGCGUUGUCCGGAAUUAUUGGGCGUAAAGAGCUCGUAGGCGGUUUGUCGCGUCUGCCGUGAAAGCCCAUGGCUUAACUGUGGGUCUGCGGUGGAUACGGGCAGGCUGGAGGCUGGUAGGGGCAAGCGGAAUUCCUGGUGUAGCGGUGAAAUGCGCAGAUAUCAGGAGGAACACCGGUGGCGAAGGCGGCGACCUGGUCCGUGACUGACGCUGAGGCGCGAAGCGUGGGGAGCAAACAGG
rnacentral:rRNA from 1 species